UACGGAGGGGGCUAGCGUUGUUCGGAAUUACUGGGCGUAAAGCGCACGUAGGCGGACGGGAAAGUCAGGGGUGAAAUCCCGCGGCUCAACCGCGGAACUGCCUUGGAAACUCCCGGUCUUGAGGCCGGGAGAGGGGAGUGGAAUUCCGAGUGUAGAGGUGAAAUUCGUAGAUACUGGGAGGAACACCAGUGGCGAAGGCGGCACUCUGGACCGGUACUGACGCUGAGGCGCGAAAGCUAGGGGAGCAAACGGG
rnacentral:rRNA from 1 species